ACGAACGCUGGCGGCAGGCCUAACCCAUGCAAGUCGCGCGAGGACUUCGGUCCUAGCGGCGGACGGGUGAGUAACGCGUGGGAACGUGCCCUUUGCUUCGGAAUAGCCCUGGGAAACUGGGAGUAAUACCGGAUGAGCCCUUUGGGGGAAAGAUUUAUCGGCGAAGGAUCGGCCCGCGUUGGAUUAGGUAGUUGGUGGGGUAAUGGCCUACCAAGCCGACGAUCCAUAGCUGGUUUGAGAAGAUGAUCAGCCACACUGGGACUGAGACACGGCCCAGACUCCUACGGGAGGCAGCAGGGGGGAAUCUUAGACAAUGGGGGAAACCCUGAUCUAGCCAUGCCGCGUGAGCGAUGAAGGCCUUAGGGUUGUAAAGCUCUUUCAGCUGGGAAGAUAAUGACGGUACCAGCAGAAGAAGCCCCGGCUAACUCCGU
rnacentral:rRNA from 1 species